UACGUAGGGUGCGAGCGUUGUCCGGAAUUAUUGGGCGUAAAGGGCUCGUAGGCGGCGUGUCGCGUCGGGGAGUGAAAGCCCGCUGCUUAACGGCGGGUUGGCUUCCGGUACGGGCAUCGCUGGAGUGCGGCAGGGGAGACUGGAAUUCCUGGUGUAGCGGUGGAAUGCGCAGAUAUCAGGAGGAACACCGGUGGCGAAGGCGGC
rnacentral:rRNA from 1 species